rnacentral:rRNA from 1 species
GUAGUCCACGCCCUAAACGAUGUAUGCUAGAUCGGCCAGGCUCUGACGUCUGGCUGGUCGGAGAGAAAUUGUUAAGCAUACCGCCUGGGGAGUACGGUCGCAAGGCUAAAACUCAAAGGAAUUGACGGGGGCUCACACAAGCGGUGGAGCAUGUUGCUUAAUUCGAAGCAACGCGCAGAACCUUACCUGGGUUUGACAUGCAUGGAUCAACCUCCUGAAAGGGAGGCCACAGCCGCAAGGCCGGAACAUGCACAGGUGCUGCAUGGCUGUCGUCAGCUCGUGCUGUGAAGUGUCGGGUUAAGUCCUCUAACGAGCGCAACCCCUAUCGCUAGUUGCCAGCGGGUAAUGCCGGGGACUCUAGCGAGACUGCCGUUGUAAGACGGA